rnacentral:rRNA from 1 species
GACGAACGCUGGCGGCGUGCUUAACACAUGCAAGUCGAACGGAAAGGCCCUGCUUUUGUGGGGUGCUCGAGUGGCGAACGGGUGAGUAACACGUGAGUAACCUGCCCUUGACUUUGGGAUAACUUCAGGAAACUGGGGCUAAUACCGGAUAGGAGCUCCUGCUGCAUGGUGGGGGUUGGAAAGUUUCGGCGGUUGGGGAUGGACUCGCGGCUUAUCAGCUUGUUGGUGGGGUAGUGGCUUACCAAGGCUUUGACGGGUAGCCGGCCUGAGAGGGUGACCGGCCACAUUGGGACUGAGAUACGGCCCAGACUCCUACGGGAGGCAGCAGUGGGGAAUAUUGCAUAAUGGGCGGAAGCCUGAUGCAGCAACGCCGCGUGCGGGAUGACGGCCUUCGGGUUGUAAACCGCUUUCGCCUGUGACGAAGCGUGAGUGACGGUAAUGGGUAAAGAAGCACCGGCUAACUACGUGCCAGCAGCCGCGGUGAUACGUAGGGUGCGAGCGUUGUCCGGAUUUAUUGGGCGUAAAGGGCUCGUAGGUGGUUGAUCGCGUCGGAAGUGUAAUCUUGGGGCUUAACCCUGAGCGUGCUUUCGAUACGGGUUGACUUGAGGAAGGUAGGGGAGAAUGGAAUUCCUGGUGGAGCGGUGGAAUGCGCAGAUAUCAGGAGGAACACCAGUGGCGAAGGCGGUUCUCUGGGCCUUUCCUGACGCUGAGGAGCGAAAGCGUGGGGAGCGAACAGGCUUAGAUACCCUGGUAGUCCACGCUGUAAACGGUGGGUACUAGGUGUGGGGUCCAUUCCACGGGUUCCGUGCCGUAGCUAACGCUUUAAGUACCCCGCCUGGGGAGUACGGCCGCAAGGCUAAAACUCAAAGGAAUUGACGGGGCCCCGCACAAGCGGCGGAGCAUGCGGAUUAAUUCGAUGCAACGCGUAGAACCUUACCUGGGUUUGACAUGGAUCGGGAGCGCUCAGAGAUGGGUGUGCCUCUUUUGGGGUCGGUUCACAGGUGGUGCAUGGCUGUCGUCAGCUCGUGUCGUGAGAUGUUGGGUUAAGUCCCGCAACGAGCGCAACCCUUGUUCACUGUUGCCAGCACGUUAUGGUGGGGACUCAGUGGAGACCGCCGGGGUCAACUCGGAGGAAGGUGGGGAUGACGUCAAGUCAUCAUGCCCCUUAUGUCCAGGGCUUCACGCAUGCUACAAUGGCUGGUACAGAGAGUGGCGAGCCUGUGAGGGUGAGCGAAUCUCGGAAAGCCGGUCUCAGUUCGGAUUGGGGUCUGCAACUCGACCUCAUGAAGUCGGAGUCGCUAGUAAUCGCAGAUCAGCAACGCUGCGGUGAAUACGUUCCCGGG